rnacentral:snRNA from 1 species
UUACCAUUUUCAGUCAUUGAUAUAAGAACAAAUGUACUGUCUGUUUUCAUCAGUGUAAUUUAUGAUAUGUCCUCUCUCCAAGGAUAAUACAUUAAAUGGAUUUUAGGAGCAGAGAAUUGAAAUAGCUGCUCUGUCUACUACAAAUAUUGAUUUGGCAUUAUAGUAUCUUCAGUCACAGUGACCCUCAC